rnacentral:rRNA from 1 species
CACGUAGGGCGCAAGCGUUGUCCGGAAUUAUUGGGCGUAAAGAGCUCGUAGGCGGUCUGUUGCGUCCGCUGUGAAAACUCGGGGCUUAACCCUGGGCCUGUAGUGGGUACGGGCAGACUAGAGUGCGGUAGGGGAGACUGGAAUUCCUGGUGUAGCGGUGGAAUGCGCAGAUAUCAGGAGGAACACCGAUGGCGAAGGCAGCUCGCUGGGACGGUACUGACGCUGAGGCGCGAAAGCGUGGGGAGCGAACAGG